rnacentral:rRNA from 1 species
AACGCGAAGAACCUUACCUACCCUUGACAUCCUAGGAAGACUGCAGAGAUGUAGUUGUGCCGAAAGGAACCUAGAGACAGGUGCUGCAUGGCUGUCGUCAGCUCGUGUUGUGAGAUGUUGGGUUAAGUCCCGUAACGAGCGCAACCCUUAUCCUUAGUUACCAGCACGUUAUGGUGGGAACUCUAAGGAGACUGCUGGUGAAGAACCGGAGGAAGGCGGGGACGACGUCAAGUCAUCAUGGCCUUUAUGGGUAGGGCCACACACGUGCUACAAUGGAGCGUACAGAGGGAAGCCAACCCGCGAGGGGGAGCCGAUCCCGCAAAGCGCUUCGUAGUCCGGAUUGAAGUCUGCAACUCGACUUCAUGAAGUUGGAAUCGCUAGUAAUCGCGAAUCAGAAUGUCGCGGUGAAUACGUUCCCGGGCCUUGUACACACCGCGAGC